CACACACACACCGAAGCUGCGGGUGUCACGUAAGUGACGCGGUAGAGGAGCGUUCUGUAAGCCUGUGAAGGUGAGUUGAGAAGCUUGCUGGAGGUAUCAGAAGUGCGAAUGCUGACAUGAGUAACGACAAUGGGUGUGAAAAACACCCACGCCGAAAGACCAAGGGUUCCUGCGCAACGUUAAUCGACGCAGGGUUAGUCGGUUCCUAAGGCGAGGCUGAAAAGCGUAGUCGAUGGGAAACAGGUUAAUAUUCCUGUACUUCUGGUUACUGCGAUGGAGGGACGGAGAAGGCUAGGCCAGCUUGGCGUUGGUUGUCCAAGUUUAAGGUGGUAGGCUGAAAUCUUAGGUAAAUCCGGGGUUUCAAGGCCGAGAGCUGAUGACGAGUCGUCUUUUAGAUGACGAAGUGGUUGAUGCCAUGCUUCCAAGAAAAGCUUCUAAGCUUCAGGUAACCAGGAACCGUACCCCAAACCGACACAGGUGGUCGGGUAGAGAAUACCAAGGCGCUUGAGAGAACUCGGGUGAAGGAACUAGGCAAAAUGGCACCGUAACUUCGGGAGAAGGUGCGCCGGCUAGGGUGAAGGAUUUACUCCGUAAGCUCUGGCUGGUCGAAGAUACCAGGCCGCUGCGACUGUUUAUUAAAAACACAGCACUCUGCAAACACGAAAGUGGACGUAUAGGGUGUGACGCCUGCCCGGUGCCGGAAGGUUAAUUGAUGGGGUUAGCGCAAGCGAAGCUCUUGAUCGAAGCCCCGGUAAACGGCGGCCGUAACAAUAACGGUCCUAAGGUAGCGAAAUUCCUUGUCGGGUAAGUUCCGACCUGCACGAAUGGCGUAACGAUGGCGGCGCUGUCUCCACCCGAGACUCAGUGAAAUUGAAAUCGCUGUGAAGAUGCAGUGUAUCCGCGGCUAGACGGAAAGACCCCGUGAACCUUUACUGUAGCUUUGCACUGGACUUUGAGCCUGCUUGUGUAGGAUAGGUGGGAGGCUUUGAAGCGUGGACGCCAGUUCGCGUGGAGCCAUCCUUGAAAUACCACCCUGGCAUGCUUGAGGUUCUAACUCUGGUCCGUAAUCCGGAUCGAGGACAGUGUAUGGUGGGCAGUUUGACUGGGGCGGUCUCCUCCUAAAGAGUAACGGAGGAGUACGAAGGUGCGCUCAGACCGGUCGGAAAUCGGUCGCAGAGUAUAAAGGCAAAAGCGCGCUUGACUGCGAGACAGACACGUCGAGCAGGUACGAAAGUAGGUCUUAGUGAUCCGGUGGUUCUGUAUGGAAGGGCCAUCGCUCAACGGAUAAAAGGUACUCCGGGGAUAACAGGCUGAUACCGCCCAAGAGUUCAUAUCGACGGCGGUGUUUGGCACCUCGAUGUCGGCUCAUCACAUCCUGGGGCUGAAGCCGGUCCCAAGGGUAUGGCUGUUCGCCAUUUAAAGUGGUACGCGAGCUGGGUUUAGAACGUCGUGAGACAGUUCGGUCCCUAUCUGCCGUGGACGUUUGAGAUUUGAGAGGGGCUGCUCCUAGUACGAGAGGACCGGAGUGGACGAACCUCUGGUGUUCCGGUUGUCACGCCAGUGGCAUUGCCGGGUAGCUAUGUUCGGAAAAGAUAACCGCUGAAAGCAUCUAAGCGGGAAACUUGCCUCAAGAUGAGAUCUCACUGGGAACUUGAUUCCCCUGAAGGGCCGUCGAAGACUACGACGUUGAUAGGCUGGGUGUGUAAGCGUUGUGAGGCGUUGAGCUAACCAGUACUAAUUGCCCGUGAGGCUUGAU
rnacentral:rRNA from 1 species